GGAGUGGUGCGUGUGUGCUAAGAGAGCUACUGUAGAUGUAUAUAUAUGCUGGUCUGCAACACAUGUAAGCCAUAUGUGAACUUUAAGUGAUGAGAAGCAGGAAAUUGGAUGGAGAGGCACAACACGGUCCAAAGCGAGCCGCAUUUGAGCCCAGAUGAGAGUACAUGAAGAAAGAGAGAGAGAAAGAGGAGGAAGAAUCUUCUUGCUUGCCAGUGAGAGAGAGA